UGGGAGGUUGGCAGCAGACGCAUCGCUCGCCAACCGGGUCAGGUCCGGAAGGAAGCAGCCCUAGUGAGUUUGGUUCGGGUUGCCCGUCCAGCCUCCCACUU
rnacentral:SRP_RNA from 1 species